GACGAACGCUGGCGGCGUGCUUAACACAUGCAAGUCGAACGAAGUGGCGAACGGGUGAGUAACGCGUAAGCAACCUGCCCUUCAGAGGGGGACAACAGUUGGAAACGAAUGCUAAUACCGCAUACUGUAGGAGGGGAUUGCGUCGGAUUAGCUAGUUGGGGGGGUAACGGCCCACCAAAGCGAUGGUCAGUAGCCGGUCUGGGAGGUUGAACGGCCACAUAGGGACUGGGACACUGCCCAGACUCCCUCGGGAGGCAACAGUGGGGGAUCUUCCGAAAUGGGCGGAAGUCUGGCGGGGCAACGCCGCGGGUGUGAUUACGGCCUUCGGGUUGUAAAGCUCUGUUAAUCGGGACGCGGUACCGGAAUAGAAAGCCACGGCUAACUACGUGCCAGCAGCCGCGGUAAUAC
rnacentral:rRNA from 1 species